UACGAAGGUGGCUAGCGUUGUUCGGAUUUAUUGGGCGUAAAGGGUCCGCAGGCGGUUUGAUAAGUCAGGUGUGAAAUCCAACAGCUUAACUGUUGACACGCAUUUGAUACUGUCAGACUAGAGUAUGAGAGGGGUGAGAGGAAUUUCCAGUGUAGGGGUGAAAUCCGUAGAUAUUGGAAAGAACACCGGCCGCGAAGGCGUUUCACUGGCUCAUUACUGACGCUCAGGGACGAAAGCUAGGGGAGCAAACGGGAUUAGAAACCCUGGUAGU
rnacentral:rRNA from 1 species